rnacentral:lncRNA from 1 species
AGAUCCUUUUGAAUAAAAUGAGCUAUAUGUUUAUUUGUGAUGUAAAAUUCAUUUGUUCAUUAUUAUCACUAUUACCAAUGAUAUCAAUGAAUCUUUCUGAUGGAGUGUCUGCUUUAAGCUGAAUUAAAGGAGCCUCCUCUCAUAUAGAAAUCAUAUAAUUAAGUAGCACAUUCUAUCAUAGCUUUCAUGAUCUCAAAAGAUACCACACUUUCUGCAUUGAUCGACACUCAAAUGUAUCUCUAUAGGAGUUUCAAUCAAGAGAAGAUAAAUAAUACGAGCACUCAUCUUUCUAGCAAUGUAAAGUAUAAAUAUGAGCUUGUACUUUAUAACACAACUUAUACUACCCGC